GCUCAGUUAUAUAAAAGACAGGAGCAGCCUGCGGCACUGACCAAUGUACAACACCGCCGCCCGUAUAUCGUACACACACUUACCCAUGCGGAGUGGCUAAAAAUAUACACAUUCAGCUGCUGCUUCUUUCGUAUGCAAAUGUGGGGAACGGUGGCUGUUCCAUGUUCUUUAGGGGAAGAAGACUGGUCCAUAUGGGACUAUGAGAAAGCUGUCUCUCCCCUCUGUAGCCUCGACUUUUUAGCUGUCAGGAACAUGGCGGAAAAGGGAGAAGGUGUGCCUUCCGUCGAGGAGCAAGUUAUGGAAGAGGAAAAUGCGGUAUUACAGGAAGAAAGUGAAAUCAGCGAAGGGGAAAAAGAAGAGGAAGAAUUGUUUGAAGUAGAAUGUUUACUUGGAAAGAAAGUGCGCAGCGGCAGGGUGGAGUAUCGCGUACGGUGGAAAGGAUAUUCAAAAGAACAUGACACAUGGGAACCAGAAGAGAAUCUAGAGCAAGUAUUAGAUAUGGUUGAGGAGUACAACAAGAAAGAAGAAGAUAAGAAAAAAGCAAGAAAAGAAGAACGUCUUAUUCGAAAGGCUAAAAUGGAAGGGAAAAAACUGCCUGGUGAGGAUAGUCCAGAGAGUGAUGACACAGAUGAUGAAAUUACUGGACUCAAAGAUCCUUUUUUCAAAUUGUUGGAAAAAGGCAAAGUGGAUGUGUUCUCACAGGAUCUCUACUCCAAAGUGAAAUCAAGAGCAGCCAUGCUAGCUGCAAAGGAAAAGGAGAAGAAAAAGGAAAAGGCUCAGGCUGCACGUAGCUCAUCUAGAGAACAGAGAAGGGCAGCCCGCAGCAUGGGUCAGAAUAGAAGCAGUGGUAGGAGAGGGGGAAGAAGCAUGGGCCAAGCUAAGUCAUCUGCAGAGAGCAAAGGGAAAGAUGAAGACAGUGACAACAGCUCAUCAGGAAUGUCUGAACAACAACCAACAAGCCCAGAAGUGAAGUCAAGAGGGAGAGCCACAGACAGGGGAGAUAACAAGACCCCCAAGGCAAGCACCAAGAAAAAGAAGAAACGAGCUGCUCCCAGAAAACCAGACCGCAGGAGAAGCAGCUGGACAUCGAAUGCUGCUGAUUCUUCCCUCAGCAGUGCAACUGACAGUUUUUCAGAAAGCCGCAGUGUGUCAUCAGAAACCAGUUAUAGCAUAAGAAAGGACAAUAAAACUAAUCCCUGUGAGACCCUAUCUGCGGCAGCUGCUGCUUCAGAGGAGGAAAAUAUAGAAGUGAUCCCAUAUGUGGAGAAUAUAACCAUGCCCUCUCUUGUUAUGAAUAUGGCAUUGGAGACAUCCCCGGCAGCAGAUGUGUGCAGCGAGGGUCACGAGGAAGUUGAUGGUAGACACAAAGCUGUCGCCAACAUCGAAGAAGGAACACCAGCAUUGCUCCCAGUAGAGUCAUCAUGUAGUGAGAUCCAAGAAGAGCAGAUGCAAUCUACAUAUGAAAAUCUUAUUAAAAAUGAUGAAGAACAAGAAGCAGUUUGUCAAAGAGGCCAUGGAAAGAAAAAGAAAAGAUUGCCAAGGAAACGAAAAUCCCAAGAAACAGAAAGCAGACUUUCUGACACUUCCAGCAGUGCAGAUCUGUCACCUAUCAAGCCGCAAACUCCACCAGAUGCCUGCAGCUCCUCUCAGUCCAGCCCAGGUCAUGAGAUCAGAAGUGAGCAAGACAAUGAUGUGAAUUCUCUUUUGGAUGAAAGCAGCCAGGAGAAAAGACUGAAGAUUGAUCUCAGUGGAGCAGAAAGUGAAGACGAUCCCCUUCCUCAGCUGCCAUUACCUCUGGUGCACAAAAUGACUCAGGAAAAGAAAGUAGAACCGUUGCUGCUACGACUUCACAACGAAAGUCGCGUGCACUUUGGUAUAACUGCUGAUAGACCACCUGAAGAUAGAGUGUAUGAAGUGACUCAUAUAGAAGCGACUAGGUUAGGACUUGUACAAUCUAAGCUACCUAAAAGAGAUUCAGACUGUGUAGAACCUGCCCGCAAACCUCAGAUGCAUGUGCCAAAUAUAACAGAUUCACCUGCUUACAGCCAGGGACAGACAAAGCACUCUAUUGUUCCUUCACCAGGUGCUUCAUCAUUUUUGGAGAAUGUGACAGUGCCAAAUGAAGUUUCUUCUAAUAGUCUCCCGCAGGAUUCUGUGUAUUCAGACAUCGGAAGUGUCCGACAUCAGCCCGAGUGGAACUUGGGAAGGGAGGCUGUGAAUUUGAAAUUGGAACCAGGAAAGGGUGGUGUAUCUGUUGCAAAGCAUACUGUACACAUUACUGUGACACAAGGUAAAGAGAAUGCUGACAGAAUGCAAGGGACUAAAUCACUAUCCAAGAAAAAAGAAGCUGAGGGUACGCAGCCUUUGGAGACAAUUCUUAACUCCUCGCUGUUGUCAGAGAGUGACAAAUCAAGGAAUAUAAAAGGUUAUGAUGACUUCGAAUUUGCACUAGAAAAAAUGGACUUGGCAGACAUUGAGGAUAUGAUUUUGCCACCAGUUAUUCCUUUAGAGCUUUCUGAUGAAGAGCUAAAGCAGGCGGUCUUGGAGGGCGAUUUGAACAAAGUUGACCAAGCGCUAUCUUCAAAUAAGUUGUACAAUCUGAACCAGGCUGAUCAUAAUGGCUGCACACUACUCAUGCAUGCUGUGCUGAAAGGGUAUGAUGAAAUAGCUAAUCAGUUGCUGUGUCAUGGUGCUGAUAUACAAAUUCAGCAGAACAAUGGUUACUCUGCAGUGAUGUUAGCAGUUGAAUGUGGAGAGUUUUCUACAGUGGCCCUUCUUUUGGAUAUGGGGGCAAACGUCAAUGCAACAGAUAUUCAUGGAGAGACGGCACUCAUCAAGGCAGUAAAGCGUGGUGAUAAACAGAUUCUAAAGCUGUUGCUGGAGAAUGGAUCCAACUUUACUGUGACCUUUCAGUCAGGUUACAGUGCCCUACAGCUGGCGAAGGUGAACCGCCUGGCAGACAUUGAAACCACUCUUAUUGAUCAUAUUAACAGAGUAGUAGCAGAAUUUGAGCGUCAGAUCCAUGCCACACUCAAGGGCACUGCAUCACUGCAGUCACCUGUGUUUCCAAUCCAGUGCUUUCCCUUGAGAGAGAGCAACACCUACAAAGUGAACUUCAGACACAUGCCAGUGCAGCUGCCAUCAGUUUAUGGUGGUGUACAGGUGUGGGAUUUCUUCUCUUUAUCGCCCAUGCAUGCUUCAAUGGUAGUGAAGUGAAGUGCCGCCUGUAUGGACAGUGUGCUGUCACCUCUGUCUAUCUCAAUGGAAUUCUUCAGCCGUCACUGACACAGGACAGCAAUUUUGUUCUCAUGUGUCACCCCUUACUUGAAGGUCGAAAUGAACUGAUCGUCAACAUCAAGAGGGACUUGCAGACCAAG
rnacentral:misc_RNA from 1 species